rnacentral:rRNA from 1 species
UGGUGGUGCAUGGCCGUUCUUAGUUGGYGGAGUGAUUUGUCUGCUUAAUUGCGAUAACGAACGAGACCUUAACCWGCUAAAUAGCCAGGCUAGCUUUUGCUGGUCGCCGGCUUCUUAGAGGGACUAUCGGCUCAAGCCGAUGGAAGUUUGAGGCAAUAACAGGUCUGUGAUGCCCUUAGAUGUUCUGGGCCGCACGCGCGCUACACUGACAGAGCCAACGAGUAUAAACCUUARCCGAGAGGUUUGGGUAAUCUUGRUAAACUCUGKCGUGSUGGGGAUAGAGCAUUGCAAUUAUUGSUCUUCAACGAGGAAUAUCUAGUAAGCGCGAGUCAUCMGCUCGCGUUGAUUACGUCCCUGCCCUUUGUACACACCGCCCGUCGCUACUACCGAUUGAAUGGCUCAGUGAGGCCUUCGGAUUGGCUCAGGGAGGUCGGCAACGACCACCCAGARCCGAAAAGUUGGUCAAACUUGGUCAUUUAGAGGAAGUAAAAGUCGUAACAAGGUUUGAAUAUUGAGAUCCUUCUCGCAGUGACNCUUAUGARAAGCCUAUGUGGCCCUGCAAAGGGUAUCUACCGCGACUAAAAAUAAGAAUGUGGAUAUUAAAUCGCAAGUCAGAGUUGGGUAACCAGUCUGGCCACACUUUCGAAUUGCGGGAACCCCCUAAAGCCAACUCUACUAACUCAGCAAGGAAACUUGAUUGAGGGCCUGUGUUAACUACACAGGGUAUAGUAAUAAGGAGUUUGGAUAAGCCAAUUGGCGAUAUGGGCAAUCCGCAGGCAAGUCCCUAAAGCUCYGAUUAUUGAGUCAUGGGGAAAGGUUCACAGACUAAGUGGAAGUGGGSUGCAUCAGCAGCUUAAGAUAUAGUCGGGCUCUUUGGGAGACCAAUGAGGAGUCACAGGUUAACAAGAUGCAUAUGAUUUGCAAUCUCUUGUUCCUUGCUCCGCUUGUUUACCGUUCCGUAGGUGAACYUGYGGAAGGAUCAUUAUGAUAAAACAAUUCUGUYGCCUUUUAGGUGAUGGUUAAACCCUUUGUGAACCAAAAACUUAUUAGSUUYGGCAGCGUGCASCAGGUGAUCAUGUGCCUGUUUGUUUUGUUAGCCUGCCGGCAGCACCAAACCAAACUUUUGUUUAAAAAUCUAGUCUGAACAAUCAUUUACGAAUGAAUAAUUAAAACUUUCAACAACGGAUCUCUUGGUUCUCGCAUCGAUGAAGAACGCAGCGAAACGCGAUAGUUAAUGUGAAUUGCAGAAUUCAGUGAAUCAUCGAGUCUUUGAACGCACAUUGCGCCCCUUGGUAUUCCGAAGGGCAUGUCUGUUUGAGCGUCAUUACAACACCUCGUUAACAAUUUAAGUUUUGUGAACGGUUUUGAGCUCUGGGUCCUCACCAGUCCUGGCUUUAAAGUUGAACGCUCUGCGGGUUACACUGCCAAACUAUACAUAGUAAAACUUAUUCUGUACGGUUAGAAAGUGACUGACUUCGCCUGAACAAUAAACCACAUUUUUAAGGUUUGACCUCAGAUCAGACAAGGAUACCCGCUGAACUUAAGCAUAUCAAUAAGCGGAGGAAAAGAAACCAACAGGGAUUGCCUCAGUAACGGCGAGUGAAGCGGCAACAGCUCAAAUUUGAAAUCUCAAGUUUACUUGCGAGUUGUAAUUUGAAGAGGAUGUUUCGGUUGUGACCUUGGCCUAAGUUCCUUGGAACAGGACGUCGUAGAGGGUGAGAAUCCCGUACACGGCUGUAGGUUUACUUCCAUGUGUAACUCCUUCGAAGAGUCGAGUUGUUUGGGAAUGCAGCUCAAAAUGGGUGGUAAAUUUCAUCUAAAGCUAAAUACUGGCGAGAGACCGAUAGCGCACAAGUAGAGUGAUCGAAAGAUGAAAAGCACUUUGAAAAGAGAGUUAAACAGUACGUGAAAUUGUUGAAAGGGAAGCGUUUGCAAUCAGACUUGCUUGCGGUUGAUCAACGUUCCUUCUGGUUCGUGCACUCUGCCGUUCGCAGGCCAGCAUCGGUUAGGACAGUGGGACAAAGACUCAAGGAAUGUGGCUCUCUUAGGGGAGUGUUAUAGCCUUG